CGGGACGGGUGAGUAAUGUCUGGGAAACUGCCUGAUGGAGGGGGAUAACUACUGGAAACGGUAGCUAAUACCGCAUAACGUCGCAAGACCAAAGAGGGGGCCUUCGGGCCUCUUGCCAUCGGAUGUGCCCAGAUGGGAUUAGCUAGUAGGUGGGGUAACGGCUCACCUAGGCGACGAUCCCUAGCUGGUCUGAGAGGAUGACCAGCCACACUGGAACUGAGACACGGUCCAG
rnacentral:rRNA from 1 species